AUUGAACGCUGGCGGCAUGCUUUACACAUGCAAGUCGAACGGUAACAGGCCGCAAGGUGCUGACGAGUGGCGAACGGGUGAGUAAUGCAUCGGAACGUGCCCAGUCGUGGGGGAUAACGCAGCGAAAGCUGUGCUAAUACCGCAUACGAUCUAUGGAUGAAAGCGGGGGACCGUAAGGCCUCGCGCGAUUGGAGCGGCCGAUGUCAGAUUAGGUAGUGGGUGGGGUAAAGGCCCACCAAGCCAACGAUCUGUAGCUGGUCCGAGAGGACGACCAACCACACUGGGACUGAGACACGGCCCAGACUCCUACGGGAGGCAGCAGUGGGGAAUUUUGGACAAUGGGCGCAAGCCUGAUCCAGCAAUGCCGCGUGCAGGAAGAAGGCCUUCGGGGUGUAAACUGCUUUUGUACGGAACGAAAAGGUCUGGGUUAAUACCCUGGGCCGAUGACGGUACCGUAAGAAUAAGCACCGGCUAACUACGUGCCAGCAGCCGCGGUAA
rnacentral:rRNA from 1 species